AUGUCUAAUGAUAUUCUUGUCUGGGUCAAUCAAAUUGUUCUGAAAAUAUUUCUCAACAUUAAUAUCCAAAACUUGUGCAUUAGGAAUUUUGUUCAAUGAGUCUCAAAUUAGAUUCAUUCAGUUAAGAAAGCAAAACAAGUAGAAAUAAAAUAACAGCCUAACAAGUGACCACUAGUUUGAUGUAUUCAUGUCACACAUAGUUCCUCUACUUUCACUUUCUCUAAUUAUUGUUGUUCUAGCUGCUGAAUUGAAUUUGCUACAUGAAAAUUUAUUUGGUGGCUCAUUUGAUUGUACUUGUACAAUAAAUAUAUUGAUAUUCUUUCCUUUUUUUUUUUACAUAUACCUUAAUAGAAUUAUCACUGGGGAAAUAUUUAAAAGUUAAAAAAAAAAAAAAAAAGCACUGACAAAACAAAUGUGUUCUACUAGAUCAGCAUUUAGUUCUUGACCAUUGAACCCUUGAAUAUAGUCAAGUAAAGAAAAAAACAUUCAAAGUUGAAUCCCAACUGCUUAAAACUUAUUCACAAUUUCACUUUUUUUUUAAAAUUUCUGUUUCUCUUGUCCAAAUGACUUUUUUUUACAAAAACAUGUUUCAAAUGUUGAAUUUCUUUGAAAAAGUGAAUGUCUAAUAAAGAGCUACUAAUUGCCUGAAUGGGGGGGGGGGGGGG